rnacentral:misc_RNA from 1 species
AACGCACAUUGCGCCCAUUAGUAUUCUAGUGGGCAUGCCUGUUCGAGCGUCAUUUCAACCCUUAAGCCUAGCUUAGUGUUGGGAGUCUACUGAAUAGUAACUUGUUACUUAGUAGUUCCUAAAAAGAAACGGCGGAUCUGCAGUAUCCUCUGAGCGUAGUAAGUUUUUAUCUCGCUUUUGUUAGGUGCUGUGGCUCUUGCCGCUAAACCCCCAAUUUUAAUGGUUGACCUCGGAUCAGGUAGGAAUACCCGCUGAACUUAA